AAAAUUGAAAAACAUAUAAGUUCUAACAAUAUAAAAAGUUUGAGAAUUUAAAAACACAAAUAAGAAAUGAAAGGAAAUUUAUGGAAAAAAAAAAAGAAAAGACAAAAGAUUUGGAAUAAAAAAUAGAAAAAUAAAAUUUUUAAAACGACGAAAAAUUAAAAUAAGAAAAAAAAUUAAAGCAAAAGAAAAAAGAUAAAUAAAGCAUGAAAAAAGAAAAAAAACAAAAAUACAACAAAAAAUUAUAAAAGGUAAGAAAAUGAAAGAGGACAAAAAAUGAAUAAAAAUUUCAAAAAUGAAAUGGAAUGACAAAAUGAAAAUAAAAUUAGUUUAAAAAAUAAAAAAAAAUUGAAAAACAUAUAAGACCUAACAAUAUAAAAAGUCAGACAAAAAAUUAAAAAAGAGAAAAGUUAAUGCAAAAUAAAAAAAAAGUAUGAGAAUUUAAAAGCGCAAAUAAGAAAUGAAAGGAAAUUUGAGGAAAAAAAGAGACAAAAGAUUUGGAAUAAAAAAUAGAAAAAUAGAAAAUUUUAAAACAACAAAAAAAAUUAAAAACAAGUAAAAAUGAAAGCAUAUGAAAAAAAAGCAAAAAGAAGGCAAAUUAUGAAGGGAAAAAGUUAUUAAAAAAUUACAAAGUAGAAAAAAAAGAAAAUAAAAAAAUAAAUUAAGAGAAAAAAUUAAAUAAAAUACCAAAAAAGGAAAAAAUAAAAAUAAACAAAGUAAGAAAAUAAAAAAUUAGCGAAUCAAAAAAUAUAAAAAGACAAAAUGAAUAAAAAUUUCAAAUAUAAAAUGAAAAAAACUAUUGGUUCAGAAUGUACAAAGAAAAAUAAAAAAAAUAUAACAAACAGAGGAAAAAGAUAUAAAAUAUGAAAGAUGAAAAAUAAAAUAAAAGAAAGUGCACAAAAAAAGAAGUUUGAGGUUUUAAAACUAUAAAGAAGAAAUAAAAAAAGGUGUGAACAAAAAGAUUUAAGAAAAAAAAUGAAAUACAAAAUAUAUAAAAUAAAAUUUGAGAAAAAGAAGAAAAAAAUAAAAAAUGAAGAGGCAAAAAUAUGAAAUAAAAGAAAAAGAAAAAAUUUAUAGAAAAUUUUUAAACAAAGAAAAAAGUGAACAAAAAAGAAUGAUGGCAUAUAAAAAAAAAGAAGAAAAAUUUGGAAGGAGAAAAAGUUAAUGAAAAAAAUAUAAAAAUGCAAUAGAAAAUAACCAAGAAUGAUAAAAGAAAAAAAGAUAGAAAAAUAAAAAAUUCUAAAACUUUAUAAAAAUUUAUGAAAUUAUAAAUAAAGAAAGAAAAUAAAAAAGAAAAAAAGUAAAGCAAAAGAAAAAAGAUAAAUAAAGCACAAAAAAAACAAAAAUACAACAAAAAAUAUAAAAAGUAAGAAAAUAAAAAAAGGACAAAAAUUGAAUAAAAAUUUCAAAAAUGAAAUGGAAUGACAAAAUGAAAAAAAAAUUAGUUUAAAAAAUACAAAAAAUUGAAAAACAUAUAAGACCUAAUAAUAUAAAAAGUCAGAGAAAAAAUUAAAAAAGAGCAAAGUUAAUGCAAAAUAAAAAAAAAGUAUGAGAAUUUAAAAACGCAAAUAAGAAAUGAAAGGAAAUUUGUGGAAAAAAAAAAGAGAAGCAAGAAAAGAAUAAAAAUGAAAGCAAAAGAUUUGGAAUAAAAAACAGAAAAAUAAAAAUUUUUAAAACAACAAAAAAAUUAAAACAAGUAAAAAUGAAAGCAUAUGAAAAAAAGGCAAAGAGAAGGAAAAUUGUGAAGGGAAAAAGUUAUUAAAAAAAUUACAAAAUGGAAAAAAGAAAAAUAAAUUAAGGGAAAAAAUUAAAUAAAAUACGAAAAAAGGGAAAAAUAAAAAUAAACAAAGAAAGAAAAUAAAAAAUUAGCGAAUCAAAAAAAUAUAAAAAGACAAAAUGAAUAAAAAUUUCAAAUAUAAAAUGGAAAAAACUUUUAGUUUAGAAUGUACAAAGAAAAAGAAAAAAAAUAAUAGCAAAUAGAGGAAAAAGAUAUAAAAUAUGAAAGAUGAAAAAUAAAAUAAAAGAAAGUGCACAAAAAAAGAAGUUUGAGGUUUUAAAAUUAUAAAGAAGAAAUAAAAAAAGGUGUGAACACAAAGAUUUAAGAAAAAAAUACAAAAUAUAUAAAAUAAAAUUUGAGAAAAAGAAGAAAAAAUAAAAAUGAAGAGGCAAAAAAUGAAAUAAAACAAAAAGAAAAAAAUUUAUAGAAAAUUUUAAAACAAAGAAAAAAGCGAACAAAAGAGAAUGAAAGCACAUAAAAAAAGUAAAAAAGAAGAAAAUUUUGAAAAGAGAAAAAGUUAAUGAAAAAUUAUAAAAAUGCAAUAGAAAAUAACCAAGAAUGAUAAAAGAAAAAAGAUAGAAAAAAAAAAUUCCAAAACUUUAUAAAAAUUUAUGAAAUUAUAAUAAAGAAAGAAAAUAAAAUAAGAAAAAAUUAAAGCAAAAGAAAAAGAUAAUAAAGCAUGAAAAGAAAAAAAACAAAAUACAACAAAAAAUUAUAAAAAGUAAGAAAAUGAAAAAGGACAAAAAUUGAAUAAAAAUUUCAAAAAUGAAAUGGAAUGACAAAAUGAAAAAAAAAAUUAGUUUAAAAAAUACAAAAAUUAAAAAACAUAUAAGACCAAACAAUCUAAAAAGUCUGACAAAAAUUAAAAAAGAGAAAAGUUAAUGCAAAAUAAAAAAAAAAGUAUGAGAAUUUAAAAACGCAAAUAAGAAAUGAAAGGAAAUUUGUGGAAAAAAAGAAAGACAAAGAUUUGGAAUAAAAAAGAGAAAAAUAAAAAUUUUUAAAACAACGAAAAAUUAAAAAAAGUAAAAAUGAAAACAUAUGAAAAAAAAGCAAAAAGAAGGAAAAUUGCAAAGGGAAAAAGUUAUUAAAAAUUUACAAAGUAAAAAAAAUUAGGGAAUCAAAAAAUAUAAAAGGAAAAAAUAAAAAUAAACAAAGUAAGAAAAUAAAAAUUAGGGAAUCAAAAAUAUAAAAAGACAAAAUGAAUAAAAAUUUCGAAUAUAAAAAGAAAGUGCACAAAAAAAGAAGUUUGAGGUUUUAAAAUUACAAAGAAGAAAUAAAAAAAGGUGUGAACAAAAAGAUUUAAGAAAAAAAUAACAAAUGAAAAUACAAAAUAUAUAAAAAAAUAUUUGAGAAAAAAUGAGAAAAAGAAGAAAAAAUAAAAAUGAAGAGGCAAAAAUAUGAAAUAAAACAAAAAGAAAAAAAAUACAAAAAAAGGACAAAAAUUGAAUAAAAAUUUCAAAAAUGAAAUGGAACGACAAAAUGAAAAAAAAAAGUUUAAAAAAGACAAAAAAAAUGAAAAACGUAUAAGUCCUAACAAUAUAAAAAGUCAGACAAAAAAUUAAAAAAGAGAAAAGUUAAUGCAAAAAAAAAAAAGUAUGAGAAUUUAAAAAUGCAAAUAAGAAAUGAAAGGAAAUGUGUGGAAAAAAAAGAGAAGCAAGAAAAGACAAAAGAUUUGGAAUAAAAAUAGAAAAAUAAAAAUUUUUAAAACAACGAAAAAAUUAAAACCAGUAAAAAUGAAAGCAUAUGAAAAAAAAGCAAAAAGAAGGAAAAUUGUGAAGGAAAAAGUUAUUAAAAAAUUACAAAGUUGAAAAAAAAUAAAUUAAGCGAAAAAAUUAAAUAAAAUACCCAGAAAGGAAAAAUAAAAAUAAACAAAGUAAGAAAAUAAAAAAUUAGCGAAGCAAAAAAUAUAAAAAGACAAAUGAAUAAAAAUUUCAAAUAUAAAAUGGAAAAAACUUUUAGUUUAGAAUGUAGAAAGAAAAACAAAAAAAAAAAAAACAAAUAGAGGAAAAAGAUAUAAAAUAUGAAAGAUGAAAAAUAAAAUAAAAGAAAGUGCACAAAAAAGAAGUUUGAGGUUUUAAAAUUAUAAAGAAGAAAUAAAAAAAGGUGCGAACAAAAAGAUUUAAGAAAAAAAUAAAAAAUGAAAAUGCAAAAUAUAUAAAAUAAAAUUUGAGAAAAAGAAGAAAAAAAUAAAAAAUGAAGAGGCAAAAAUAUGAAAAAAAAAUAAAAAGAAAAAAAUUUAUAGAAAAUUUUAAAACAAAGAAAAAAGUGAACAAAAAAAAAUGAAAGCACAUAAAAAAAAGUAAAAAAAAGAAGAAAAAUUCGGAAGGAGAAAAAGUUAAUGAAAAAUUAUAAAAAUGCAAUAGAAAAUAACCAAGAAUGAUAAAAGAAAAAAAGAUAGAAAAAUAAAAAAUUCCAAAACUUUAUAAAAAUUUAUGAAAUUAUAAAUAAAGAAAGAAAAUAAAACACGAAAAAAAAUUAAAGCAAAAGAAAAAAGAUAAAUAAAGCACAAAAAAAAAAACAAAAAUACAACAAAAAAUAUAAAAAGUAAGAAAAUGAAAAAGGACAAAAAUUGAAUAAAAAUUUCAAAAAUGAAAUGGAAUGACAAAAUGAAAAAAAUUAGUUUAAAAAAUACAAAAAAUUGAAAAACAUAUAAGUUCUAACAAUAUAAAAAGUUUGGGAAUUUAAAAACACAAAUAAGAAAUGAAAGGAAAUUUAUGGAAAAAAAAAAGAAAAGACAAAAGAUUUGGAAUAAAAAAUAGAAAAAUAAAAUUUUUAAAACGACGAAAAAUUAAAAUAAGAAAAAAAAUUAAAGCAAAAGAAAAAAGAUAAAUAAAGCAUGAAAAAAGAAAAAAAAAAAAACAAAAAAUUAUAAAAGGUAAGAAAAUGAAAGAGGACAAAAAAUGAAUAAAAAUUUCAAAAAUGAAAUGGAAUGACAAAAUGAAAAUAAAAUUAGUUUAAAAAAUAAAAAAAAUUGAAAAACAUAUAAGACCUAACAAUAUAAAAAGUCAGACAAAAAAUUAAAAAAGAGAAAAGUUAAUGCAAAAUAAAAAAAAAGUAUGAGAAUUUAAAAGCGCAAAUAAGAAAUGAAAGGAAAUUUGAGGAAAAAAAGAGACAAAAGAUUUGGAAUAAAAAAUAGAAAAAUAGAAAAUUUUAAAACAACAAAAAAAAUUAAAACAAGUAAAAAUGAAAGCAUAUGAAAAAAAAGCAAAAAGAAGGCAAAUUAUGAAGGGAAAAAGUUAUUAAAAAAUUACAAAGUAGAAAAAAAGAAAAUAAAAAAAUAAAUUAAGAGAAAAAAUUAAAUAAAAUACCAAAAAAGGAAAAAUAAAAAUAAACAAAGUAAGAAAAUAAAAAAUUAGCGAAUAAAAAAAUAUAAAAAGACAAAAUGAAUAAAAAUUUCAAAUAUAAAACGAAAAAAACUAUUGGUUCAGAAUGUACAAAGAAAAAUAAAAAAAAUAUAACAAACAGAGGAAAAAGAUAUAAAAUAUGAAAGAUGAAAAAUAAAAUAAAAGAAAGUGCACAAAAAAAGAAGUUUGAGGUUUUAAAACUAUAAAGAAGAAAUAAAAAAAGGUGUGAACAAAAAGAUUUAAGAAAAAAAAAGAAAAUACAAAAUAUAUAAAAUAAAAUUUGAGAAAAAGAAGAAA
rnacentral:lncRNA from 1 species